AUGCAUCUAGAUUAGAGUUUGAUCCUGGCUCAGGACGAACGCUGGCGGCGUGCUUAACACAUGCAAGUCGAACGGUGACCCUGGAGCUUGCUCCGGGCGAUCAGUGGCGAACGGGUGAGUAACACGUGAGUAACCUGCCCCAGACUCUGGGAUAACCUCGGGAAACCGGGGCUAAUACCGGAUACGAGACGCUCCGGCAUCGGAUGCGUCUGGAAAGAUUUAUCGGUCUGGGAUGGACUCGCGGCCUAUCAGCUUGUUGGUGAGGUAACGGCCCACCAAGGCGACGACGGGUAGCCGGCCUGAGAGGGCGACCGGCCACACUGGAACUGAGACACGGUCCAGACUCCUACGGGAGGCAGCAGUGGGGAAUAUUGCACAAUGGGCGCAAGCCUGAUGCAGCGACGCCGCGUGGGGGAUGAAGGCCUUCGGGUUGUAAACCCCUUUCAGCAGGGAAGAAGCGAAAGUGACGGUACCUGCAGAAGAAGCGCCGGCUAACUACGUGCCAGCAGCCGUGGUAAUACGUAGGGCGCAAGCGUUGUCCGGAAUUAUUGGGCGUAAAGAGCUCGUAGGCGGUUUGUCGCGUCUGCUGUGAAAACCCGAGGCUCAACCUCGGGCCUGCAGUGGGUACGCGCAGACUAGAGUGUGGUAGGGGAGACUGGAAUUCCUGGUGUAGCGGUGGAAUGCGCAGAUAUCAGGAGGAACACCAAUGGCGAAGGCAGGUCUCUGGGCCACAACUGACGCUGAGGAGCGAAAGCGUGGGGAGCGAACGGGAUUAGAUACCCUGGUAGUCCACGCCGUAAACGGUGGGCACUAGACGUGGGGCUCUUUCCAUGAGUUCCGCGUCGCAGCUAACGCAUUAAGUGCCCCGCCUGGGGAGUACGGCCGCAAGGCUAAAACUCAAAGGAAUUGACGGGGGCCCGCACAAGCGGCGGAGCAUGCGGAUUAAUUCGAUGCACGCGAGAACCUUACCAAGGCUUGACAUAUACCGUUAUCCUAGAGAU
rnacentral:rRNA from 1 species